GACGGGUGAGUAACGCGUAGGAAUCUACCUAGUAGAAGGGGAUAGCCCGAGGAAACUCGGAUUAAUACCGUAUACCUCCUUAGGGAGAAAGAGGGCCUCUCUUGAAGCUUUCGCUAUUAGAUGAGCCUGCGUAAGAUUAGCUUGUUGGUGAGGUAAUGGCUCACCAAGGCUACGAUCUUUAGCUGGUCUGAGAGGACGAUCAGCCACAUUGGGACUGAGACACGGCCCAGACUCCUACGGGAGGCAGCAGUGGGGAAUAUUGGACAAUGGGCGCAAGCCUGAUCCAGCCAUACCGCGUGUGUGAAGAAGGCCUUCGGGUUGUAAAGCACUUUAAGCAGGGAGAAAAAGUUAUAAGUUAAUACCUUAUGACCGUGAUGUU
rnacentral:rRNA from 1 species